rnacentral:rRNA from 1 species
GACGAACGCUGGCGGCGUGCUUAACACAUGCAAGUCGAACGGUGAAGCGCCUUCCUUUUUGGUGGGUGUGGAUGAGUGGCGAACGGGUGAGUAACACGUGAGUAACCUGCCCCCUUCUUCUGGAUAACCGCAUGAAAGUGUGGCUAAUACGGGAUAUUCUGGGUCUGUCGCAUGAUGGGUCUGGGAAAGAUAUUGUUUCGGUGGGGGAUGGGCUCGCGGCCUAUCAGCUUGUUGGUGGGGUGAUGGCCUACCAAGGCGGUGACGGGUAGCCGGCCUGAGAGGGUGGACGGUCACACGAGGACUGAGACACGGCCCAGACUCCUACGGGAGGCAGCAGUGGGGAAUAUUGCACAAUGGGCGCAAGCCUGAUGCAGCGACGCCGCGUGAGGGAUGGAGGCCUGCGGGUUGUGAACCUCUUUCGCCAGUGAAGCAGGCCUGCCUCGUUUGUGAGUGGGUUGACGGUAGCUGGAGAAGAAGCGCCGGCUAACUACGUG